GCCUUCGUGGUGUAGUGGUCAGCAAGCUCACGCGUAAAGGAGAGGUUCGUGGUUCGAUUCCCGGCGAAGGUU
rnacentral:tRNA from 1 species